ensembl:ncRNA F46F3.20 ncRNA
CUUACUUUUUAUUCCCCCGUUUCUCCAGCUUUUGCGACCACAUGCGCGCCGCGCAUAUCUCCUCUAUCUAUAUUCCCUAUCGUUUGUGGACAGACGCAGAUUCGCGUUGCGACGUUGCUGCAAAAGUCAACGC